rnacentral:lncRNA from 10 species
UGGGGGUGUCCACUCCUCCCUGCUCAGCUUGGCACCUGGAUAGUGGAGCCAGAGGGAAUCAGAAGACCAUGCUCUUGGCAAGGCCACCACCAAUAUCAGGAGGGUACAGCAUCAUUACCAAGGCAACAAUGAGAUUCCUUCAAGCUACUUGGAGGACAGGCAGGGCAUAUGGGUGAACACAGUGUUGCUAGACUAGCAGGAAAGGAACAUGGUUGGCUUGGAUGAUUACUGUAGUGGACACACUGUAAGCAGAUAUAAGCUAUCCUUU